rnacentral:rRNA from 1 species
AGCGAACGCUGGCGGCAUGCCUAGCACAUGCAAGUCGAACGGUGAAGGUUGGAGCUUGCUCCUGCCGGAUCAGUGGCGAACGGGUGAGUAACACGUGAGCAAUCUGCCCCGAACUCUGGGAUAAGCGCUGGAAACGGCGUCUAAUACCGGAUACGACGCGCGACGGCAUCGUCUGCGCGUGGAAAGAACUUCGGUUCGGGAUGAGCUCGCGGCCUAUCAGCUUGUUGGUGAGGUAAUGGCUCACCAAGGCGACGACGGGUAGCCGGCCUGAGAGGGUGACCGGCCACACUGGGACUGAGACACGGCCCAGACUCCUACGGGAGGCAGCAGUGGGGAAUAUUGCACAAUGGGCGCAAGCCUGAUGCAGCAACGCCGCGUGAGGGACGACGGCCUUCGGGUUGUAAACCUCUUUUAGUAGGGAAGAAGCGAAAGUGACGGUACCUGCAGAAAAAGCACCGGCUAACUACGUGCCAGCAGCCGCGGUAAGAC